GUGAGGAAUAUUGGUCAAUGGACGAGAGUCUGAACCAGCCAAGUCGCGUGAAGGAAGACGGUUCUAUGAAUUGUAAACUUCUUUUGUGCAGGAAUAAAGUGGGUUACGUGUAACCUUUUGUAUGUACUGUACGAAUAAGGAUCGGCUAACUCCGUGCCAGCAGCCGCGGUAAUACGGAGGAUCCGAGCGUUAUCCGGAUUUAUUGGGUUUAAAGGGUGCGUAGGUGGAUUGAUAAGUCAGCGGUGAAAGUUUGCAGCUUAACUGUAAAAUUGCCGUUGAUACUGUCGUUCUUGAGUGCAAAUGAGGUAGGCGGAAUGUGUUGUGUAGCGGUGAAAUGCUUAGAUAUAACACAGAACUCCGAUUGCGAAGGCAGCUUACUGGGAUGCAACUGACACUGAUGCACGAAAGCGUGGGUAUCAAACAGGAUUAGAAACCCCGGUAGUCC
rnacentral:rRNA from 1 species